GGGAAAUGGUGGUGAUAUGACAUACACGGCAGUCCAGCCAUAAGGGCUUGAAUAUCGCUGACCCUGUGUUCACAUAAUGGUGACUAGAAAGACCAUCUUGAUGAUGAUUCGGGAACUACACUUCUCAUAUUUGGAGGUGAUUCUUGUGGUCAGCCCAACCUGUCCCUAAGGCAUCCAUAAUAAGCGUCACUGUCAAGGAAGGGGCUGAAAAGGACAGUUAAUUCCUCACAUUCACGUGCUAUGAAGCCAAACACUCGAGAGGUCACAACGAACAGGAGGUAGAUUUUUUUAAAAUGUGCAUAUGCUCUUUUAGGGAGGUUACCAAAUGGGUCC